GGUAAUUACCCCCUGCUCAUCUGCCGUUGAUCGGUCUCCCCGUGCGCCUAGCGAUGGAACUGUUCCCCCAGCGAUCGAGUCUCCUGCUAACGGGCAGAGAAAGCUGCAUGUCAUACCCAACCCGGCAAGAGAAAGGAUAAUCCAGUUCUGAUAUUUAAUUAGCCAACUAAUUCCGGAUCAUUAUCUAGUUCUUGUUUCUCCCGUGCUCAUCCAUGCAGAUUUAGUUUUGCUGCUAACGAACUAAAAGAUUCGUUCUAAUCCAUCCGUAUUACACCGGUCCCUUCUCUCUCUUUCUCUCUCUCUCGUACACCCAGCACCGGCGCAUCGUCUGGCUGGCACCGGCGCGCCGGCCACCUGCCCGGAGACGGCGGCCGUGCAGAUCCUUCUCCUCGCCAGGCCUGCGCUCACAUCCUAUACCACUUCUGCCGUUACCCCCAAGGCCCAAGGUCAGAGGCAGCGUGAAGAAUCAGAUCUUCUAGCAUAUGAAUACAUAUGCCAUCUUCCUACCGUUUGCUGGAGUUAAUUAGAGAAGAGAUGUAUAUACAUGCAUGGAUUUGGAUUGAACGGAAGGAUAUAUGCAUGCGUUCAGAUCAAAAGAUGGUGACAGGCGGCCGGCAUGCGGACAAAUACGACGUUUGUGUGACAUCUAGGUUGCUAUUCUCGAUCUCGCACUGAUGCGCGCAAGCUCUGGUCAUCGUGGCGAGAUAACCAUGACAAGCAAACGAUGAGACGACUACGUGUCUGCCGAGUCCAACUAGAUUUUUUGCCGUCCGGCCAGCAGUGAUGAGAUAGAUUGCUAUAUUAGCUAGCGUGUAUAUCAGUGUACGGAGCCUAGCAUAUUUUCGUUUUGGGGUUAACAUGACUUAUGUUUUAUCCGAGAAGUGAUCAUCUGUUGAUUCAAUCAAGCUUGUGUCAAGAUAUAUAUCUUGUUGAUCAUAUAUGUACUUGAUUUUUUCUUCAGAAAUUAUACUUACAAACUUGUCCA